rnacentral:pre_miRNA from 1 species
GAGUUCCCUUCAAGCACUUCACGUGGCACUAUUUCAAUGCGUACCGUGUGAAGUGUUUGGGGGAACUC